AGAGGGUCCAGAGAAAGGUGGGGAUUCCCUAACCCCUUCUUUCUUGGCACAGACAGGCAGAGAACACCUCUUUUCUCACCCCUGGGCAGCCCCAGGAAGUCAAUCCUUCCACUAUUCCUGCUCCGUGCCUCUCUUCCCUCUGCCCAGAUUCCUGGGAGACUCAAAACCCUGUUCAACUCUCUCUGGGCUAGCUGCUCCCCUCCCCAAGAGGAUUUCUCUCCAGAGCUGGUAUCAUCGCUUAAUGAUGUUCCACCAACAAGGGGAAGGUUUCUUUUCUGGGAGCUGCUAUCACUGAAUACAUAAAGAAAUUGAGCCUAUAUGAUUUCAAUCUUCACCUUCUGAUGCUGAUGAAACAGGAUUCUAUGCAGUUUACAGGGGGCCUGGAGGAAUGAAUCAGUGGCAGUGAGUGACAGAGUGGUCUCAGCAGGAAGAGGUGGAGGCAACGCUGGGAUUUGGAAAUGCCUCUUUUUCCACAGGGAGAAGCAGCAGGCUGAAGUGGCUCUUUAGGGAGACACAUACCUCCACAGGAAGAGCAGUCUAGAUUGUUUUAGCACAUUCCACUUAAGGAUUGCAGUGUGACAGCAGAGAAAAUCCUCUCCAGUCAAGUAAUUGCAUCCAUUUCAUCUUCCCAGCCCUCCUCUAGAUGGGAGGUGGAGGACAGUGGGGACCCCAGCCAGAGCCUGGGGACUUGGCUGCCUUGGAACCAGAACCUGGCCCCUCAGAGGAGUUGCAGAAUUUCGAUAGAGGAGUGGCAGGAGGUGUACUGGCUGAAGAGGAGGCCCAAGGAACUCCUUUUCAUACAUCAAAACUGAGCUUAUCACCUCUACCCUGAAGUCAUCCUGGACAUCACUGGUCCCAGUUAAUCACUCACUUAUCUUUGCCAUCCUUGACCUGGGAAGAGAACGUUGCCCUCAUUGGUCUGGAAUCAGCAGGUACCUCAUGGCUGGAGGUGUAUUUUCAGACUCCUUUGGCAUCUGGUGAGGCCUGUGGAUUCAUUCUCAGAAUCACAUUUUUAAAUGCACAUAAUAAAAUACAUAGAAUUGCAAAGGAAGUUAAUUAUAUUGAAAUACAGUUAUCAAAAAUAUAAAUAAAACAAGUAUGUGGUACAGUCAUAUGUGUGCUUCUUUAUUAAGUCAUUACAAAGCAAGAUCUAUUUGGAGGUCUAAUAACUGUCAUAUGCUUGAAAAAAUCCUUAACAAUCAUAAUAUAUUAAAAAAUCUGAUUUCUACUUUGGCAAAUCAUAGAUAUUGCUGAAACUGUGGUUUAUUGCCUGCAUUCAUAAUUGAAGGAAAUGCUAGAGUUCAGUGAGAAGGUUGUGAAAAUAAAGAGAGCCUUUUUUUCUCAUCAAG
rnacentral:lncRNA from 10 species